GGGCCAGUGGCUGACUGGCAAGGCAACGGCGCGGUAACCAGCACGCGUCGCGUAUGCAGGUUCGAAUCCUGCCUGGCCCAC
rnacentral:tRNA from 1 species